AAUGCCCUGCUUCUUUAUUCUUUAUCCCACAAACCUCCUAAGGUCCUUGCCCUCGAGGUGGAGGUUUGGAGACUUGUUCUCCUUUCUCAUUUGGUUGCAUUGGGAAUAAAUCCUCUCUGCUGCACACCUCAGCUUCUCAGCGGUUUGGCUUGCUGUGCAUCAGGUGGGACAUUGGUCUUCUCCUGCCUUUUGACUCAGACUCAUAUUGGAACUUCCGCUGUUGACACGUACUUUGGACUUAGACUGGAACUUACGCCAUCAGUUCUUCUGGGUCUUCACCUUGGCAACUGCACAUCUUGGGACAUCUCAGCUUUUCGGCCUCCAUAACCACUUGAGACAAUUCCUUACAAUAGAAAAAAGAGUUCACAGUUCUGCACGGACUGCUAUCCAGUGUUCAAAAACCAUUGUUCCAUAUAUUUCAUCAGCUUUCUAAUUGUUUUUUGGUGGGAGAGUGAACAAAGUUUCUACAAUAAUGAUCACCUCUGAAGGAAAAGUAAGGUGAUUAUAAUGAAGAAUAUUGAAGAGGAUUCAGGAGAUGUUAUUUCAAGUUGAUCUCUGUCUCCAAAGUGUCAAUAUUUUAGGGGGGGUGGCACAUUUUAAGACUUCUCAUCCAAUUUUGUACAUUUUAUAAUAAGGAUCACAGAGGAUAAGUUACUUGCCCUAGAGCCUUGACUCUCAGACUUUCUACUAUAGUACUUAUGUCAUUAAAUAAUUGUUUUCUCAUAAAAGUCAUAACAUCUGAUCUGUAGCUUAUAAGGAAAAGUCUAAUUUGAUUUUUACUAUCCCUUCUUAAAUUAUAUGAUUCUAUGAACUAAAUUUGUUUAUUUAAUCCUCUCCUAGACCUCAACUGGAUAUAUCCGCAUUUGGCAUAUUCUUUAAUCCCUUUCCUCUCAUAUGGAGAAUAAGGAAACUUUAAUCCUUUUCCUCUCAUAUGGAAAACAGAUGCACUGAAAACACCCUAGAAUCCAUCCCAGCAUAGUUGCUCCUGCUCUACUGCCAGUUUCCUGCGUUAAUGCUUAUGGAGAUUUGCUAUACUUGACAUCCUUCAAGAGUGUAUAGAGUAAGUACAUCACUGCCUAUAGUUUUAUAUUAAUGAAUCCUUAUUAACAUUUCUAUGUGAUGUGGUAUCACAUUUGUGUCAACUUUCUUAGGUUGCUUUAUCUAUUUCCUUUUUUCUUUGUCAAUUUUCCCAUUAGAGAGAAAAGCAUUUCUCAUCUAGGUUGGAAAACCUCUAUAAUUACAUGUCUAACCCCUAUCACUUUUCUUUAGGUCUAUUACAAUAUUCUUUCAUUUGUCUUGCCAAACAUCACUCACAGCAUUUGGGGUAUAGUGACUCUUGGAGUAGCCAGUGAAUAAAUACAUGUUUCAGA